rnacentral:rRNA from 1 species
UACGAAGGGGGCUAGCGUUGUUCGGAGUUACUGGGCGUAAAGGGCGCGUAGGCGGCUUGCCAAGUCUGGUGUGAAAUCCCUGGGCUCAACCCGGGAAUGGCGCCAGAGACUGGUAGGCUCGAGGACGGGAGAGGAUGGUGGAAUUCCCAGUGUAGAGGUGAAAUUCGUAGAUAUUGGGAAGAACACAGGUGGCGAAGGCGGCCAUCUGGUCCGUUUCUGACGCUGAGGCGCGAAAGCGUGGGGAGCAAACAGG